rnacentral:rRNA from 1 species
UACGUAGGGAGCGAGCGUUGUCCGGAUUCAUUGGGCGUAAAGAGCUCGUAGGCGGCUUGGCAAGUCGGGUGUGAAAACUCCAGCUCAACCUGGAGACGCCACCCGAUACUGCCAUGGCUAGAGUCCGGUAGGGGACCACGGAAUUCCUGGUGUAGCGGUGAAAAUGCGCAGAUAUCGAGGAGGAACACCGGUGGCGAAGGCGGUGGUCUGGGCCGGAACGACGCUGAGGAGCGAAAGCGUGGGGAGCGAACAGG